UGACUGAACUCAUUGCUCAUGGCAGCCAGCAUGAUGCAGUGCACCAUGGUCCAGUCACUGAGCCACUUCUGGUAAGUGUCUCUGACUGUUCCACGUGCAUUGGCAGCUGGCUCCUUAGGUGCAGGAUCCGUUAUCACAUAUAGGAUCCGUUCAUGCUCCAAGACAAGCUUCAACUUUUGGUACCAGCUAUCAAAGUUGUGUUCCACCAAAUUUUUAUUAUCCAACAA
rnacentral:lncRNA from 1 species